GCGGCCGUGACCCUGCUGGAGUGCGGGGGGGACCUCCAGCCCCCCGGGGGGUCCCUGCGCCUCCUCUGCCGAGGGUCCGGGUUCAGUUUCGGCAAUUUUGGAAUGGCCUGGAUCCGCCAGAGACCCGGGCAGGGGCUGCAGUGGGUGGGAACCAUCAGCAGCAGUGGUGGCAGCACCAUCUACGCGGAUUCAGUCAAGGGCCGGUUCAUGAUGUCCAGGGACAAUGGGCAGAGCUCGGUGACGCUGACCAUGAACAACCUCAAGGACGAGGAUUCCGGAUCCUAUUUCUGCGCCAAGGACACCGAUGGUGACGGUGCUUAUGCUGAUGCUGUGCUGGAUGGGGAAUAG